rnacentral:rRNA from 1 species
GAUGAACGCUGGCGGCGUGCCUAAUACAUGCAAGUCGAGCGAACAGACGAGGAGCUUGCUCCUCUGACGUUAGCGGCGGACGGGUGAGUAACACGUGGAUAACCUACCUAUAAGACUGGGAUAACUUCGGGAAACCGGAGCUAAUACCGGAUAAUAUAUUGAACCGCAUGGUUCAAUAGUGAAAGACGGUUUUGCGGUCACUUAUAGAUGGAUCCGCGCCGCAUUAGCUAGUUGGUAAGGUAACGGCUUACCAAGGCAACGAUGCGUAGCCGACCUGAGAGGGUGAUCGGCCACACUGGAACUGAGACACGGUCCAGACUCCUACGGGAGGCAGCAGUAGGGAAUCUUCCGCAAUGGGCGAAAGCCUGACGGAGCAACGCCGCGUGAGUGAUGAAGGCCUUCGGAUCGUAAAACGCUGUUAUUAGGGAAGAACAAAUGUGUAAGUAACUAUGCACGUCUUGACGGUACCUAAUCAGAAAGCCACGGCUAACUACGUG